rnacentral:rRNA from 1 species
AACCCUGACGCAGCAACGCCGCGUGGGUGAUGAAGGUCUUCGGAUUGUAAAGCCCUGUUUUCUAGGACGAUAAUGACGGUACUAGAGGAGGAAGCCACGGCUAACUACGUGCCAGCAGCCGCGGUAAUACGUAGGUGGCGAGCGUUGUCCGGAUUUACUGGGCGUAAAGGGUGCGUAGGCGGAUGUUUAAGUGGGAUGUGAAAUCCCCGGGCUUAACCUGGGGGCUGCAUUCCAAACUGGAUAUCUAGAGUGCAGGAGAGGAAAGCGGAAUUCCUAGUGUAGCGGUGAAAUGCGUAGAGAUUAGGAAGAACACCAGUGGCGAAGGCGGCUUUCUGGACUGUAACUGACGCUGAGGCACGAAAGCGUGGGUAGCAAACAGGAUUAGAUACCCUGGUAGUCCACGCCGUAAACGAUGGAUACUAGGUGUAGGGGGUAUCAACUCCCCCUGUGCCGCAGUUAACACAAUAAGUAUCCCGCCUGGGGAGUACGGUCGCAAGAUUAAAACUCAAAGGAAUUGACGGGGGCCCGCACAAGCAGCGGAGCAUGUGGUUUAAUUCGAAGCAACGCGAAGAACCUUACCUGGACUUGACAUCCCUUGCAUAGCCUAGAGAUAGGUGAAGCCCUUCGGGGCAAGGAGACAGGUGGUGCAUGGUUGUCGUC